rnacentral:rRNA from 1 species
UCCGAGUUGUAAUUUGCAGAGGGCGCUUUGGUGUUGGCAGCGGUCCAAGUUCCUUGGAACAGGACGUCACAGAGGGUGAGAAUCCCGUACGUGGUCGCUAGCCUCCGCCGUGUAAAGCCCCUUCGACGAGUCGAGUUGUUUGGGAAUGCAGCUCUAAAUGGGAGGUAAAUUUCUUCUAAAGCUAAAUACUGGCCAGAGACCGAUAGCGCACAAGUAGAGUGAUCGAAAGAUGAAAAGCACUUUGGAAAGAGAGUCAAAUAGCACGUGAAAUUGUUGAAAGGGAAGCGCUUGCAGCCAGACUUGCCUGUAGUUGCUCAUCCGGGCUUUUGCCCGGUGCACUCUUCUACAGGCAGGCCAGCAUCAGUUUGGGCGGUUGGAUAAAGGUCUCUAUCACGUACCUCUCUUCGGGGAGGCCUUAUAGGGGAGACGUCAUGCAACCAGCCUGGACUGAGGUCCGCGCAUUUGCUAGGAUGCUGGCGUAAUGGCUGUAAGCGGCCCGUCUUGAAACACGGACCAAGGAGUCUAACAUCUAUGCGAGUGUUUGGGUGUCAAGCCCGAGCGCGUAAUGAAAGUGAACGGAGGUGGGAACCCUUUGGGUGCACCAUCGACCGAUCCUGAUGUCUUCGGAAGGAUUUGAGUAAGAGCAUGGCUGUUGGGACCCGAAAGAUGGUGAACUAUGCUUGAAUAGGGU